rnacentral:rRNA from 1 species
GACGAACGCUGGCGGCAUGCCUAAUACAUGCAAGUUGAACGAUGAUAUUCUCUGCUUGCAGAGAAUUGAAGAGUAGCGAACGGGUGAGUAACACGUGGGGAACCUGCCCAUGAGAGGGGGAUAACAUUCGGAAACGGAUGCUAAUACCGCAUAAUGCUUUGGACCGCCUGGUCCAGAGACGAAAGACGGCUUUUGCUGUUACUCAUGGAUGGCCCCGCGCCGUAUUAGCUAGUUGGUGAGGUAAUGGCUCACCCAAGCUGUUAUACGUAGCCGACCUGAGAGGGGGAUCGCCCACACUGGAGCUGAGACACGGCCAAGACUCCUACGGGAGGCAGCAGUAGGGAAUCUUCGACAAUGGGCGAAAGCCUGAUGGAGCAAUGCCGCGUGAAUGAAGAAGGUCUUCGGAUCGUAAAGUUCUGUUAUUAGAGAAGAACAAGUCAAGGAGUAACUGUAUUGACUUUGACGGUACCUAACCAGAAAGUCACGGCUAACUACGUG